rnacentral:rRNA from 1 species
AAUGAACGUUGGCGGCGUGGAUUAGGCAUGCAAGUCGGACGGGCCGCAAGGCCAGUGGCGUAAGGGUGAGUAAGGCGACGGCAAUCCACCCCACGGUUGGGGAUAGCCGCGAGAAAUCGCGGGUAAUCCCCAGCGACGCGCGGCGUCGGCAUCGACGCCCCGCCAAAGGCUCGCCGCCGUGGGACGAGCCGUCGUGGUAU